rnacentral:snRNA from 1 species
GUGCUCACUUCAGCAGCACAUUCUAAAACCGUAGAAACAGAGAAGAGUAGCAUGGCCACUGUGCGAGGAGGACACAAAUUUGUAAAGCAUUCCAUUUUUUA